rnacentral:rRNA from 1 species
GACGAACGCUGGCGGCGUGCCUAAUACAUGCAAGUAGAACGCUGAAGAGAGGAGCUUGCUCUUCUUGGAUGAGUUGCGAACGGGUGAGUAACGCGUAGGUAACCUGCCUUGUAGCGGGGGAUAACUAUUGGAAACGAUAGCUAAUACCGCAUAACAAUGGAUGACACAUGUCAUUUAUUUGAAAGGGGCAAUUGCUCCACUACAAGAUGGACCUGCGUUGUAUUAGCUAGUAGGUGAGGUAAUGGCUCACCUAGGCGACGAUACAUAGCCGACCUGAGAGGGUGAUCGGCCACACUGGGACUGAGACACGGCCCAGACUCCUACGGGAGGCAGCAGUAGGGAAUCUUCGGCAAUGGGGGCAACCCUGACCGAGCAACGCCGCGUGAGUGAAGAAGAUUGUCGGAUCGUAAAGCUCUGUUGUAAGUCAAGAACGGGUGUGAGAGUGGAAAGUUCACACUGUGACGGUAGCUUACCAGAAAGGGACGGCUAACUACGUG